UCUUUAUUUCCUAAGCCCGCAAUUUCUAUCUCAAGCCCCAAAAUAGCCAACAAACCUUUCUCUUCUUUUUCUUCUCCAAAACCCAAAAACCUAGCGAAAGGAAGAUUAAAAUCAAAAGUUUUUUGUUAGAUUUUGAGGAAUAAAAGAGAGGAACGAAGAAGAAGAAGAAGAGAUAAAAGGGGUUGGGAAAUGGAUUCAGAUCAGGGAAAGCUGUUCAUUGGUGGGAUACCAUGGGAAACAAGCGAGGAUAAGCUUAGGGAACACUUUAGCCAAUACGGCGACGUUUUGCAGACAGUUAUUAUGAGAGAUAAGGUUACCGGAAGACCUCGAGGGUUUGGAUUCGUCGUCUUCUCAGAUCCUGCCAUUCUCGAUACCGUUCUUCAAGAAAAACACAGCAUCGAUGGGAGAAUGGUCGAGGCAAAGAGGGCUUUAUCAAGAGAGGAGCAGCAAACUUCUGCUAGGUCUGGAAAUUUUAAUCAGGGUAGAAAUUCUGGAAGUGGUGGAAAUAUCAGGACCAAGAAGAUUUUUGUUGGAGGGUUGCCUCCUACCUUAACUGAAGAUGGAUUUCGCCAAUACUUUGAGGCAUAUGGUCAUGUAACUGAUGUAGUAAUAAUGUAUGACCAGAAUACUCAGCGGCCUCGUGGAUUUGGUUUUAUCUCAUUUGACGCUGAAGAUGCUGUUGAUAGGGUUUUGCACAAGAAUUUUCAUGAUUUGAAUGGCAAGCAAGUUGAAGUGAAGCGGGCCCUUCCUAAAGAUGCCAAUCCUGGUGGGGUUAGCCGAACUAUCAGUGGUGGUGCUGGUGGUGGUGGAGGUUACCAGGGCUAUGGUUCUUCUGGUGGGAAUGCGAGUUCUUAUGAUGGUCGUAUGGACUCCAAUAGGUACAUGCAGGCCCAGAGUACUGGAGCUGGCUUUCCACCUUAUGGCUCAUCAGGAUACACAGCUGGUUAUGGUUAUGGUCCCGCUAAUAAUGGUGUCGGUUAUGGUAGUUAUGGCAAUUAUGGUGGUGCAGGUGCUGGUUAUGGUGCCCCUGCAGGUGCUGCUUAUGGGAAUCCUACUGCUGGUUAUCCAAGUGGCCCUCCUGGUGCACCUAGAAGCUCAUGGGGCGCUCAAACUCCUUCUGGUUAUGGUACUAUGGGUUAUGGAAAUGCUGCUUCUUGGGGUGCCCCAGGUGCUGGUGCUGGUAGUGGUGGUCCAGGGUCAGCAGCUACCGGCCAAUCUCCCACUGGAGUUACUGGUUACGGGAGUCAAGGUUAUGGAUAUGGUGGGUAUGGCGGAAAUGAUGGAUCUUAUGGGAAUGCUGGGUAUGGGGCUGUUGGAGGUCGUUCUGGUGUUACUCCAAAUAUUAAUCCUGGUUCGGGCGGGGGAGAUCUACAAGGAAGUGGUGGUGGCUACAUAGGAAGUGGAUAUAGUGAUGCAAAUGGAAAUUCAGGGUAUGGAAAUGCAUCAUGGAGGUCUGAUUCAUCACAAGGUUCUGGAAAUUAUGGGGGCACUCAGUCAAAUGGUCCUCAUGGUGGACAAGGUGGUUAUGGUGGUGGGUACGGUGGUGCUCAGGGCCGACAAGCUCAACAACAGUGAUUCAAUCACUUGAAAGACAACUUGAUUUCAACCUCUUCUGUGGAUAGCCUUCUCUUUGCUCUUGUGGUGAUGGUUUCUUAUUCCCAGCAGCAACGGGAGAGGCUCAAUUUGGAUGUCUAAUCACCUUGGGACCGGAGGAGAGAUGCUUGAGAGUUCAAAGGUGGAGUCAAGUGUCUACUCAGGGCUGAACCCGAGCUUCGUGGUGGGGGUUUUUCAAUGUGGGGUUUGUUCAUCCGAGGACUUGCUCAGUUGAAAUUUUGAGUUAACAUGGGAGAGGCCCUUCCCCAUCCAGUUGCUGCCAACUCUUCCAACUCUUGGCUUUUGAAUUUGUGAAGCAAACGGUCUGGGGUAUGUUGACUCAAAGCUGUUAGCUGUCUGGCAGAUUAAGAUACAUUAUUCUCUUAUUACUUGGGGUGCCUUUUGAUUCUUUAGAGUAGAUCUUACAGUGUGAUUUCUGAUCAAUAGAGCCUUAGAAAAGCAUGUCCUUUAAGAGUUCCUGUUAGUUUUGGAAUGAAUUAUUGAGUUUUCCCUAACAUUUAAUGCUGGGGCCAUUCUUUCCUUCCACAGGCAAUAGGUUAAAUUCUUCUGAUUGGUAUUGGUAACGUCGUAUGAUUCAUAAUUGCUCAUUAUUCUCGGUCACAUCAUGAGUCAAGACCCCAAUUUUGUUUUCCUGUCUGUACAUUUUAGGUAACAAACCAAUAAUUCAGUGGAAGAGGGGCUUUUAGUAGUUUUGAAUGUCAACCUAGGCAGUCGAAUUGAGUUUUGGUUGAUGGAAGGAUUCAAGACUGAUGCUGAAAGCUUUCAUUUUCAGGAUUUUAAUUGGACGAUGAGACGUAUGGUUCAAAUGUUGUUAAUCACUAGUAAUGACUUGGUGACUGAAUGGCAGCAUCUAUGUAUAUGUAUAUAGAUAGAAACUCAGCUUCUCUCUUAUCAUUGGAAUCGGGCAGUUUAAGAAGAUAUGUAAGGUCGGAGUUUGAAUCCCAUCAUCUCCAUUUCCUUAAUAAUACAGGGAAAAAAAAAAAAAAA